UAACGGUCCUAAGGUAGCGAAAUUCCUUGUCGGGUAAGUUCCGACCUGCACGAAUGGCGUAACGACUUCCCCACUGUCUCGACCAGGAGCUCGGCGAAAUUGCAGUACGAGUAAAGAUGCUCGUUAAGCGCAGAAGGACGAAAAGACCCCGGGACCUUUACUAUACCUUGGUAUUGGCAUUCGGUGUGGAUUGUGUAGCAUAGGCGGGAGGCCGAGAGGCGCGGUCGCCAGAUCGCGCGGAGCCGUAAGGUGAAAUACCGCUCUGUUCGCAUUGGAUGUCUAACCUCGAACAGUCAUCCUGUUCAGGGACAGUGCCUGGCGGGUAGUUUAACUGGGGCGGUUGCCUCCCAAAGAGUAACGGAGGCGCCCAAAGGUCCGCUCAGCCCGGUUGGCAAUCGGGUGGCGAGUGCAAGUGCACAAGCGGGCUUGACUGCGAGGACGACGGUCCGAGCAGGGACGAAAGUCGGGACUAGUGAUCCGGUGCCGGUGUACGGACGCGGCAUCGCUCAACGGAUAAAAGGUACCCCGGGGAUAACAGGCUGAUCAUUCCCAAGAGUCCAUAUCGACGGGAUGGUUUGGCACCUCGAUGUCGGCUCGUCGCAUCCUGGGGCUGGAGCAGGUCCCAAGGGUUCGGCUGUUCGCCGAUUAAAGCGGCACGCGAGCUGGGUUCAGAACGUCGUGAGACAGUUUGGUCUCUAUCCUCUGCGCUCGUUGGAAUGCUGAGGAGGCCUGCCCAUAGUACGAGAGGACCUGGGUGGACGAACCUCUGGUAUGCCGGUUGUCACGCCAGUGGCACGGCCGGUUGGCUACGUUCGGAAGGGAUAACCGCUGAAAGCAUCUAAGCGGGAAGCCUGCUCCAAGAUAAGCAUUCCGUGGAACCUUCGAGUUCCUGUAGUCCCCAUGCAGAACACGUGGUUGAUAGGCCGGACGUGGAAGCCCCGCGAGGGGUGGAGCCGACCGGUACUAACGGACGAAAGGCAACACUAA
rnacentral:rRNA from 1 species